AUCUUUUAAAUAAUAAUAGGUUAUUUUAGUACGAAAGGAGUAAAUAACUAAAAUAUUUUUACAUA
rnacentral:rRNA from 1 species